rnacentral:lncRNA from 1 species
UGGACAGGGCUUAAUGACUUCUGCGGCUUUAGCUGGGUUAGCAGCAAAGGAAGGGAUGAGAAUAAAACGCCCCCAUAAGCCUAGGAAAGGACCUGGUUAGCCAGGGAAACCAGGAGCCACCAGGGCUGGUUUUAAAUUCAACCCCAUCAAUAAACAACUCGCCUCAGUAAACAUGCUUCAGCAGCUAGAAUAUCACAACGGCCCUGUGUCUGGAGCAGCUGAUUAGGAACCAAUCCAUUCCAAUAAGCACCCAGUGAGUGCCAGCUAAGCAUCAGUGACACCAGUGACCUCGCUUCUACAGACGACAUCCGUGCACUCAUGCUUUUUGGCAUCUGCCAGUCCCUGAAGUUGCUUCCUAAGACUCGACACAAGAUUUGUCAUCUGCUCUGUGCAUGCCCGAGCCCAGGGCAGCUCCCUGGCAAGACCCAACCUGACAGAUGGAAGCCAACCCAGAGGCAGGAGGGUCACGUGGAAAGAAUAAAGAGAUCCUUGCUUUACAGCUGGAAAUGUGGUUUGGGAGAAGGCAAGGCCAGAGUGGUUCCUGAAGCCCAGGACACCGAGAGAAGAGCAAGAAAGGAACCAGUGUCAAAGACGGCGAGUGGAGAGGGGAGGAGAGGGGAGGAGAGGGGCCUCAACACGACACGGGGUGAGCAGCUCUGA